rfam:Paenibacillus sp. HGF7 contig00074, whole genome shotgun sequence.
UUCUUAUCAAGAGUGGCGGAGGGACAAGGCCCUGCGAAGCCCGGCAACCGAUCGCAGCAAUAUGCGCGAUGACAAUGGUGCCAAUUCCUUCAGGAUCCAGGCGGAUUCUGGCAGAUGAGAA